UUGAACCCCAACCUGAGGAUAUCUAUGGAUGGGACAGUGAUAUGUCAGCAAUUCUCCUGCUUCUGCAUCUACUUCCCCCAACCCCAAGAGGCCAGAAAAAAACAUCAAAGAUCAGUUCAGCCCAGGCAACCAACCAUCUUGUGCGGUACCUUCCGGAAGGAGCCAGUCUUACUACAUUCCUUGAGAGAGCUGAAACGAAACAGCCCUUCCUCCUCUGCAUUGGUGAG